AUGGCCGUGGACGCGGGGCCGCGGGACUGGAGGACGCCGGCGUCGAUGGUGCUGGUGCAGCUGUUCAUCACGGGGAUGCUCCUGCUGUCCAAGGUGUCCAUCGGCGCCGGCAUGUUCAUCUUCGCGCUCCUCGCCUACCGCAGCUUCCUCGGCGCCGCAUUCAUCCUCCCCUUCGCGCUCAUCUCCGAAAGGGACAAGUGGAGGGAGAUGGGUUGGCAUGCCACAGGAUGGAUCUUCCUCAAUGCAUUCAUCGGGUACGCGGUGCCAAUGAGUCUACUCUACUAUGGCCUCAGUGAUACAACCCCAUCUUAUGCCGUCAUCUUUGUAAAUAUGAUCCCACUGUUCACCUUCGUUCUCUCGCUCGUCUUCAGAAUGGAGGCGCUGCAAAUCUGGAGCAUAGCUGGAUUGCUAAAGAUCGUAGGUGUUCUACUCUCUGUGGGAGGCACGAUGUUGCUUAGCCUUUACAAGGGCAAGACGUUGCACCUGUGGGAUCCUAUCUUUGUGAACCACCACAAGGAACGUCAUGUGGCUGAGGUUGCAGGCAAUCACUUACGAGGGACAAUAUUCUUGGUAGGCAGCAGCUUCACAUUUGCUUGCUGGUACCUGAUUCAGUCAAAGGUUCUCAAGGUGUACCCAUACAAAUACUGGUCGUCCAUGACAACAUGCUUGGUUGGAGGAUUUCAGACAUCACUAGUUGGAAUACUAUUGAGAAGAGACAAGAACACAUGGAAGCUAGGAUGGGAUCUGAAUCUUGUGACCAUUAUAUACUCGGGUGCACUUGCAACAGCAGGGAGAUAUAGCCUGAACUCAUGGGUCGUGGCCAAGCGAGGCCCAACAUACCCUCCCAUGUUCAACCCAUUAUCUCUAGUGUUUACAACUUUGUUAGACUCCAUCUUCAUAGGCGAUGAAAUUACAGUAGGAAGCCUACUCGGUACAACAAUGGUGAUUGUUGGGAUCUACAUUUUCUUGUGGGCCAAAUCAAAAGAAGUGCGGGACAAAUAG
rnacentral:rRNA from 1 species